rnacentral:rRNA from 1 species
ACUCCUACGGGAGGCAGCAGUAGGGAAUCUUCCACAAUGGGCGCAAGCCUGAUGGAGCAACACCGCGUGAGUGAAGAAGGGUUUCGGCUCGUAAAGCUCUGUUGUUAAAGAAGAACACGUAUGAGAGUAACUGUUCAUACGUUGACGGUAUUUAACCAGAAAGUCACGGCUAACUACGUGCCAGCAGCCGCGGUAAUACGUAGGUGGCAAGCGUUAUCCGGAUUUAUUGGGCGUAAAGAGAGUGCAGGCGGUUUUCUAAGUCUGAUGUGAAAGCCUUCGGCUUAACCGGAGAAGUGCAUCGGAAACUGGAUAACUUGAGUGCAGAAGAGGUAGUGGAACUCCAUGUGUAGCGGUGGAAUGCGUAGAUAUAUGGAAGAACACCAGUGGCGAAGGCGGCUACCUGGUCUGCAACUGACGCUGAGACUCGAAAGCAUGGGUAGCGAACAGGAUUAGAUACCCCUGGUAGGAUA